UACGGAGGGUGCAAGCGUUAUCCGGAUUUACUGGGUUUAAAGGGUGUGUAGGCGGGCUUUUAAGUCAGUGGUGAAAUCUCCGGGCUCAACCUGGAAACUGCCAUUGAUACUAUUAGUCUUGAAUUCUGUUGAGGUAGGCGGAAUAAGUCAUGUAGCGGUGAAAUGCAUAGAUAUGACUUAGAACACCAAUUGCGAAGGCAGCUUACUACACAACGAUUGACGCUGAGGCACGAAAGCGUGGGGAUCAAACAGG
rnacentral:rRNA from 1 species